rnacentral:rRNA from 1 species
UACGGGGGGAGCAAGCGUUGUUCGGAUUUACUGGGCGUAAAGGGCGCGUAGGCGGCCACCGCAAGUCGACUGUGAAAUCUCCGGGCUUAACCCGGAAAGGUCAGCCGAUACUGCGGGGCUAGAGUGCAGAAGGGGCAACUGGAAUUCUCGGUGUAGCGGUGAAAUGCGUAGAUAUCGAGAGGAACACCUGCGGCGAAGGCGGGUUGCUGGGCUGACACUGACGCUGAGGCACGAAAGCUAGGGGAGCGAACGGG